CAGAGCAGAAGGAAACCCUAGAGUGAGUGGAGGAGUGAAUGUGUGGGAUCAGUUGCAGCGCAUGAGCAGAGGAGAAUCGGAAGUGGAAAGUAGGGCAGGGCAGUUGCAAUCUGCAGCAGCAGCAGCAGUUAUGGCGAACGACUUGGUGCUGGACACACAGAUCCGCGACUGGGUGCUUGCGCCCUUGUCGAUCGUGAUGGUGCUCAUCGGCGUGCUGCGCCAUUUCGUCACGAAAAUGAUGCGCACCACGCCUAACCCCGAUCUAAAGGCCGUCAAGGAGGGCCAGAUCGUGCUGCGAGCUCGGUUCCUGAGAGCAAGCGCGAACUACCUCCCCGCGAGGUCGUUCCAGAUGCGCAAAGCGUACUACAACAACGAGGAGAAUGGUUUGUUGCACGUGCCCAAGGGGCAGGGUAACGACAUGCAAGCGCAGAUGUUCUCGGACCCUAACAUGGCCAUGGACAUGAUGAAGAAGAACCUAUCGAUGAUCAUCCCGCAGUCGCUCACGUUCGCGUGGGUGAACUUCUUCUUUUCCGGGUUUGUGGCGGCCAAAAUCCCGUUCCCGCUCACGCAGCGGUUCCGGUCCAUGCUGCAGAAUGGGAUUGAUCUGAGCUCCGUGGAUGUUAGCUACGUGAGUAGUAGGUCGUGGUACUUCUUGAACCUGUUUGGGCUGCGUGGUCUGUUCAAUUUGAUCCUCGGGGAGGAGAAUGCGGUGGACGAUGCGCAGAGGAUGAUGCAGACGCAGAUGGCGAUGCAGAUGGGCGGAUUUGGGGCGGACCCUGCGAAGACACUCGGUGCGGAGAAGGAUGGAUUGGACUUGGUGCAGCAUGAGUGGGUGGCCGUCAGGAGCGAGCAACUCGCGGAAUCUGUGCUGAGGCGCUUGUUGAAGACCUAGACCUAAUUUCACAUUUUUUUUUUUUUUGGGUUCUUCUAAUUUUUUUCUUUAGCACAAAGAAUUUAGGGUUUGUCUGUAAUCAUAUGAAACAUUGAAUAGAGAUAUUACAUUUUAGCGACGAGCAUUCAUAUCUGACACUGUAAAUAAGCCUUGUGGAUUAAGAGAAGAUAUAGAGUUUAUCAUCAUUCUUUGCA